UACGUAGGGGGCUAGCGUUGUCCGGAUUUAUUGGGCGUAAAGAGCGUGUAGGCGGCCAGAUAGGUCCGUUGUGAAACCUGGAGGCUUAACCUCCUGCCGUCGAUGGAAACCAUCUGGCUAGAGUCCGGAAGAGGAGAGUGGAAUUCCUGGUGUAGCGGUGAAAUGCGCAGAUAUCAGGAAGAACACCCGUGGCGAAGGCGGCUCUCUGGGACGGUACUGACGCUGAGACGCGAAAGCGUGGGGAGCGAACAGG
rnacentral:rRNA from 1 species